rnacentral:tRNA from 1 species
GUUUUGGCAUUCUAUACAUCUCAGCCUUCUAGCAUUUAAGGGCAGUUCUACUUUAGUCAUUCUGUUAGGAGGAUGGAAAUACUUUAAUUUUGUAUGACACUUAGAGAUAUUCUGCCUAAAUACCUGAUUUUGCAAAUGACAAUUACACAUGAAACCUGUGUCCUGAAAUUUAUAUGUGAGGCUAUUUGAUGAGCACACACAUGCAUGCCUAUAGCUGCAUUAGCUAUGGUGAUGGAUCACCAGGGUAUCCCAGAGUCCCCCUAGUGACCAUAUUGGCCAGACAUUUCUGUGUGACCCAAAGAUAUAGAAGUUAAAGCAGGGAUUUGGGGGUAAAAGAUUUAGAUACAGGGCUGGGAGUGUGGCUCAGGGCAGAGCAUGUGCUUAGCAUGCAUGAGGUCCUGGGUUCAAUCCCUAGCACUUAGGAAGCAUAUGCAGUUAUUUGCACCCAAUCUCCCAGGAGGGCAGAAGUGGAAAACCCUGGUUAUGGCCCCAAGUACAGGUAUGAAAAAUAUAUGAAAGGCUUAAUCCUGCCCCAUAAUUGCAGUGUCAUAAAGGUCAAGGCUGAAAGUCCUUUUUAAGUUUAGUUACAAAGCAAAUGGUGAGGAAAGUGUUUAGUCUUGCUAAUGUACAGAAACCGCUAGAGACUGCUACCAUGGUUAUAAUAGGUUGAAAAUCAGUUUUAAGGCUGGGAGUUUUCCAAGCUAGGAGCUAUCACCAUCUUCUCUAGGUUUUACUUUUUUAUGGUGCCUGCACCCAACAUUGCUG